rnacentral:misc_RNA from 1 species
GACAAAACAACUGCAUCACUAUCAUCAUGCAACCAAAUACAACAAUCAUAGAAAACUAGAUUUCAUUACCAGAUACAAAGGGCAUCGCGAAAAAGGGAAUUCAACAAAAAAAUUCUGUAAUUUUUGGAGAGACAUUGAUGGUGAAUGUAUCGAACCUAAUUUUCUCUGGCUCUAUUUAUGAUAUAAUGAAGUCGUCGAUCAUCACCUCACAAAACCAAAAUGAGGUAAUAUUGUUUUAGCAUCUAUAAUGGUUGUUUUAUACAAAACUUCACUUCAAAACUUAC